rnacentral:rRNA from 1 species
UACGGGGGGGGUAAGCGUUGUUCGGAAUUACUGGGCGUAAAGGGCUCGUAGGCGGCCAACUAAGUCAGACGUGAAAUCCCCCGGCUUAACCUGGGAACUGCGUCUGAUACUGGGAGGCUCGAGUAUGGGAGAGGGAUGUAGAAUUCCAGGUGUAGCGGUGAAAUGCGUAGAUAUCUGGAGGAAUACCGGUGGCGAAGGCGGCAUCCUGGACCAUUACUGACGCUGAAUCGCGAAAGCUAGGGGAGCAAACGGG